rnacentral:rRNA from 1 species
CAGCCGCCGCGGUAAUACGUAGGUGGCAAGCGUUGUCCGGAAUUAUUGGGCGUAAAGGGCUCGCAGGCGGUUUCUUAAGUCUGAUGUGAAAGCCCCCGGCUCAACCGGGGAGGGUCAUUGGAAACUGGGAAACUUGAGUGCAGAAGAGGAGAGUGGAAUUCCACGUGUAGCGGUGAAAUGCGUAGAGAUGUGGAGGAACGCCAGUGGCGAAGGCGACUCUCUGGUCUGUAACUGACGCUGAGGAGCGAAAGCGUGGGGAGCGAACAGGAUUAGAUACCCCCGUAGUCCCUGUCUCUUAUAC